UACGUAGGGCGCAAGCGUUAUCCGGAAUUAUUGGGCGUAAAGAGCUCGUAGGCGGUUUGUCGCGUCUGCCGUGAAAGUCCGGGGCUCAACUCCGGAUCUGCGGUGGGUACGGGCAGACUAGAGUGAUGUAGGGGAGACUGGAAUUCCUGGUGUAGCGGUGAAAUGCGCAGAUAUCAGGAGGAACACCGAUGGCGAAGGCGGCAUCCUGGACCGACACUGACGCUGAGGAGCGAAAGCCAGGGGAGCAAACGGG
rnacentral:rRNA from 1 species